rnacentral:lncRNA from 10 species
CGCAGAUGCGCUGCCCCGGCCGCAGCCCAGCCGCCGCGUGUGUUGUCAGGACGAUCGGAAACGCGUGUGUGGGGAGAUGGGUGCCAGUGUCGCCUUGUCCAUUAUCCAAAACCCAGUCGCUUUUGCUGGUUCCUCACUCAGCAUGUGAGAGAGAUUGUCUUCUCACUCGGUGCCACUCGGGGGCCAUACUCCAAAAUCAACCAGGGGCUGCCUCGGCAUCCAAGACGUUUCGGGCCAGGCGAGGCUGUUUCCCUAACCUGUGCCAUGGGCAAAAGAGAACGCCGCCUUCCCAUGCAGUUCCCUUUGUAGCCCACCCCUUGCCAUUCCAGGCAUCACUGAAGGUCUUUGCUCCCACCACUCCCACCCCUUCUCCUACCAGCUAGAUCCUCAUAACUCCUACAGGAUUGCAGAAGUUCAAACACAUGCUGUUCUCUGAGUGUAACUCUGAGGGCAGCUGUAAGAAAUCAACAGAAAAGAAUAGCUGCUACUCUUUUAUUAAAGGAAAAGUUAAUGAUCACAGGCAUGAGCAAGUGGAUUCUGUCACCAAUUCCUCAUUGUAAGGCUUCCUACAGAUUUGCAAACAGAUCUCCUGCCUAGAGGCACUUGCUUGCAUCAGGAAGGCCUGAGCAGGGACAUGGGACGGACACAGGAUGGGAAUGGAUUUGGUGGUCUGCAAAUGCUACGUGGAGGGAACUCUUGCUAACUCAUCCUGUUCCAAAGAACCUAACCAUCAUGUCUUCUUCAAAGUUGAAGAGCUGUUACCUUGAUAUACCAACAACUAGACAGAGGCUAAAGUGUGGAGCAAGGAAACAGUAACAGUAACAUACCUCUUAUUUAAGACAAAAAAAAAAGCAAAGUUGGCUUUAGUGAGUAUGAGUUUCUUGAUUAUUACUGUCAUCAUGUGAAAAUGUGAGCUGACGCUGCAAAUACAAUCCUUGGAAACAACGAGGACGUGUGGAAAUCUAAGUAUGUUAUCAUUCACUGACAACCACUAAUGAAGACAGGGGAGCUUACUUCAAAC